UGUCGUUUGUGAAGGAGAGUACGGCUGAAAAGAGGAAAAAUAAAGAUUAAUCCCAGAUUCAUUGGCAGCUAUUUGAUAAAUGAGCAGCAAGCAAUUUCAUGGGCAUAUUGAAUAGCCAAUACUUUAUCUUUAGCCAACUAAUGGUUUUAAAUAAAGGCCGUUACAUUACGUAACAGUCAUUAUUGUUAGGUUUUUUGCCCUCCCGUUACCGUGACAUCCGUUUAUUAAAGGCAUAAGAAAAUUUGUUCCUAUAACGGCCGUUACACCUGUUACUUAAUAGUAA
rnacentral:misc_RNA from 1 species